CACGUAGGGACCAAGCGUUGUCCGGAUUUAUUGGGCGUAAAGAGCUCGUAGGCGGUCGUGUAAGUCGGGUGUGAAAUCUCCGGGCUCAACUCCGAAACUGCAUUCGAUACUGCCGUGCUUGAGGACUGGAGAGGAGACUGGAAUUUACGGUGUAGCGGUGAAAUGCGUAGAUAUCGUAAGGAAGACCAGUGGCGAAGGCGGGUCUCUGGACAGUUCCUGACGCUGAGGCACGAAGGCCAGGGGAGCAAACGGG
rnacentral:rRNA from 1 species